rnacentral:rRNA from 1 species
GCGGCGUGCUUAACACAUGCAAGUCGAACGGAAAGGCCCUGCUUUUGUGGGGUGCUCGAGUGGCGAACGGGUGAGUAACACGUGAGUAACCUGCCCUUGACUUUGGGAUAACUUCAGGAAACUGGGGCUAAUACCGGAUAGGAGCUCCUGCUGCAUGGUGGGGGUUGGAAAGUUUCGGCGGUUGGGGAUGGACUCGCGGCUUAUCAGCUUGUUGGUGGGGUAGUGGCUUACCAAGGCUUUGACGGGUAGCCGGCCUGAGAGGGUGACCGGCCACAUUGGGACUGAGAUACGGCCCAGACUCCUACGGGAGGCAGCAGUGGGGAAUAUUGCACAAUGGGCGGAAGCCUGAUGCAGCAACGCCGCGUGCGGGAUGACGGCCUUCGGGUUGUAAACCGCUUUCGCCUGUGACGAAGCGUGAGUGACGGUAAUGGGUAAAGAAGCACCGGCUAACUACGUGCCAGCAGCCGCGGUGAUACGUAGGGUGCGAGCGUUGUCCGGAUUUAUUGGGCGUAAAGGGCUCGUAGGUGGUUGAUCGCGUCGGAAGUGUAAUCUUGGGGCUUAACCCUGAGCGUGCUUUCGAUACGGGUUGACUUGAGGAAGGUAGGGGAGAAUGGAAUUCCUGGUGGAGCGGUGGAAUGCGCAGAUAUCAGGAGGAACACCAGUGGCGAAGGCGGUUCUCUGGGCCUUUCCUGACGCUGAGGAGCGAAAGCGUGGGGAGCGAACAGGCUUAGAUACCCUGGUAGUCCACGCUGUAAACGGUGGGUACUAGGUGUGGGGUCCAUUCCACGGGUUCCGUGCCGUAGCUAACGCUUUAAGUACCCCGCCUGGGGAGUACGGCCGCAAGGCUAAAACUCAAAGGAAUUGACGGGGCCCCGCACAAGCGGCGGAGCAUGCGGAUUAAUUCGAUGCAACGCGUAGAACCUUACCUGGGUUUGACAUGGAUCGGGAGUGCUCAGAGAUGGGUGUGCCUCUUUUGGGGUCGGUUCACAGGUGGUGCAUGGCUGUCGUCAGCUCGUGUCGUGAGAUGUUGGGUUAAGUCCCGCAACGAGCGCAACCCUUGUUCACUGUUGCCAGCACGUUAUGGUGGGGACUCAGUGGAGACCGCCGGGGUCAACUCGGAGGAAGGUGGGGAUGACGUCAAGUCAUCACGCCCCUUAUGUCCAGGGCUUCACGCAUGCUACAAUGGCUGGUACAGAGAGUGGCGAGCCUGUGAGGGUGAGCGAAUCUCGGAAAGCCGGUCUCAGUUCGGAUUGGGGUCUGCAACUCGACCUCAUGAAGUCGGAGUCGCUAGUAAUCGCAGAUCAGCAACGCUGCGGUGAAUACGUUCCCGGGGCUUGUACACACCGCCCGUCAAGUCAUGAAAGUUGGUAACACCCGAAGCCGGUGGCCUAACCGUUGUGGGGGAGCCGUCGAAGGUGGGACUGGUGAUUAGG